AGUGGCGGCGCGGCGGGGACCGAGAGCUGCGGGCGGGCUGGAGGUACCCCACCGCGGGGUGGUGCUCUGACUGCGGGAACCGUUGAAGAGCUGCCCCCGGGGAGUCAGCGAGGCGCCACUGGUCUCUUAGACAUCUUCUCAAGAUUAUGCUAAGAGAAAUGACUGCACCCUUUUCCUGAGCUAUGGCAGUCAGACCUGGCAGUGGUAACUACUCUACAGAACUCCCAAACCUGGCAAGGAUGGUGCAGAUUUUGGCAGAUUAUGGCUUUGUCCCCACCCAGCACUGAUGAUAUUAUAAAAUAUGACACCUUCAAGUAUAAGCAACCAAAGAAAACUAGAUAAAUUGGACCUCAUAAAGUAAAACAAACAAAAACCUUUUGCUUCAAAGGAUACCACUAAGCAAGCGAAAAGACAACACAUAGAAUGUGAGAAAAAGGUUGUAAAUCCUAUAUAUGACAAGGCACCUGUAUCCAGAAUAAAGAACCUCUUAAAACUCAACAAUAAAAAC
rnacentral:lncRNA from 1 species